GUGCUCGCUUCGGCAGCACAUAUACUAAAAUUGGAACGAUACAGAGAAGAUUAGCAUGGCCCCUGCGCAAGAAAUAUGAAAAUAUGAAAAAAUAAUUUCAUAAAUAU